AUAUAGCUGACGAGUUUUAGAUAGGACGAAACGUGUGUUCUAGAU
rfam:Schistosoma mattheei strain Denwood, Zambia genome assembly, scaffold: SMTD_scaffold0022632